rnacentral:lncRNA from 1 species
CGAUGGAUCUCAAAUUUGGAUAUGUUGUAGCUGACAAGGUGAGGAACAACUUCGAUGAAGAAAGUAUGUUGAGCUGAACAAGAAAAAAUGGAGUUUAGAAGCUCACAACAAGUCUGACGGGUUAACAGAAAAUUGAUGAACAUUUACUCAUCAUACCUGAAUUUCUGGAGUUGUACUACUCCGAUGGAUCUCAAAUUUGGAUAUGUUGUAGUUCACAAGAUAAGGAACAACUUUCAUGAAGACGACUUUGCUAUCUGAGCUCUAGAGAAUGGUGUUCUAUUGCAUCCACUCAGGCUGAUUAGUGGAAACGAAAAGCAAUUCCACCAAAGAAAAGAUGAAAAAGAG